CAUGCAGUCGAGCGAGCAGAUCCCUUCGGGGGUGAAGCUAGCGGCGGACGGGUGAGUAACACGAUGGGCAACCUGCCUCAUAGAGGGGAAUAGCCUUCCGAAAGGAAGAUUAAUACCGCAUAAUAUUGUAGCUUCGCAUGAAGCAUCAAUUAAAGGAGCAAUCCGCUAUGAGAUGGGCCCGCGGCGCAUUAGCUAGUUGGUGAGGUAACGGCUCACCAAGGCGACGAUGCGUAGCCGACCUGAGAGGGUGAUCGGCCACAUUGGGACUGAGACACGGCCCACACUCCUACGGGAGGCAGCAGUGGGGAAUAUUGCUCAAUGGGGGAAACCCUGAUGCAGCAAUGCCGCGUGAGUGAUGACGGCCUUCGGGUUGUAAAGCUCUGUCUUCGGGGACGAUAAUGACGGUACCCGAGGAGGAAGCCACGGCUAACUACAUGCCAGCAGCCGCGGUAAUACGUAGGUGGCAAGCGUUGUCCGGAUUUACUGGGCGUAAAGGGAGCGUACGCGGACUUUUAAGUGAGAUGUGAAAUACCCGAGCUCAACUUGGGUGCUGCAUUUCAAACUGGAAGUCUAGAGUGCAGGAGAGGAGAAGGGAAUUCCUAGUGUAGCGGUGAAAUGCGUAGAGAUUAGGAAGAAUACCAGUGGCGAAGGCGCUUCUCUGGACUGUAACUGACGCUGAGGCUCGAAAGCGUGCGGAGCAAACAGGAUUAGAUACCCUGGUAGUCCACGCCGUACACGAUGAAUACUAGGUGUAGGGGUUGUCAUGA
rnacentral:rRNA from 1 species